CUGAAACGUCUGAAGAGAGAGAGAGAAAUGAAGCUCCAGUCUCUGCUGCUGUCGAUCGCCCUCAGCUGCUGCUCUGCUGAAGGUGACCACCAUGACACUCCACCUUCUGCGGUGAUGAUGGGCGCCGCUCAGUCACCCGUCCAAUGGGACGACGCCCCCGGCCCAAAGCGGUCGGAGCAGGUCCAGGAUCAGCAGUCGGACGAACUGUGGAGGAAGGAGGUCCUGGAUCUGCUCACACAGCUGGUCCUGGUUCAGAAAGAGGUCGCCAGGGGCCAGGGUCAGGUGGUGCAACUCCUCAGCACGCUGGGUACUCAGGGUUCCCAGCAGAUCCAGGAUCUGCAGAAUCUGGCUCGUCACCAGAGUCUGCUGGUUGAGAACCACCAGGCGUUACUGCUGCAGACCUCCCGCAUCGCCACCCAGCUGCAGGAAAUCACCAAGAAGCCCGCUGCCCCCCCGAACACUCCUUCCAGCCAAUGAGAUCCUCUAGUUCACCAGUUUGUUCUGAUAUUUGUUCUCAAUGAGCCAUUCAGGUUGAUUUGUUCUCAUCCUGUUGGCCAAUGAUUUAGAUUGUUUAUACUAACUGAACCAGUUAAACCAGCUUACCAGUUAACAUCUAACCUUUUAAUCAAUACUAAUCAUUUUCAGUAUGCUGAUAGAUUUGAACACACAAUCAAACAAAUGUAUUUUACAUGUUUCUUAGAUUAAGAAUCAGAGAACUGAUUAAAUGAAAACCUGUUGGUGACAUCACAGCAUCCCAUCAGAGGAACACCUUUGUUGUUGUAUUUCCUAUUCUGUCAUUUUCAAAAUAAAGUCAUGUUUCAUGACCCAUCCAGUG
rnacentral:lncRNA from 1 species